UACGUAGGCAGCAAGCGUUGUUCGGAAUUACUGGGCGUAAAGAGUGUGUAGGCGGCGCGGUAAGUCGGGUGUGAAAUCUCGGAGCUUAACUCCGAAACUGCAUUCGAUACUGCCGUGCUUGAGGACUGGAGAGGAGACUGGAAUUUACGGUGUAGCGGUGAAAUGCGCAGAUAUCUGGAGGAACACCGGUGGCGAAGGCGGCAUCCUGGACCGACACUGACGCUGAGGAGCGAAAGCCAGGGGAGCAAACGGG
rnacentral:rRNA from 1 species